rnacentral:rRNA from 1 species
CUGAAUAGGGCGCAUAAGUAACAGGUCGUAGACCCGAAACCAGGUGAUCUACCCAUGUCCAGGAUGAAGGUAAGGUAAUACUUACUGGAGGUCCGAACCCACGCACGUUGAAAAGUGCGGGGAUGAGGUGUGGGUAGCGGAGAAAUUCCAAUCGAACUUGGAGAUAGCUGGUUCUCUCCGAAAUAGCUUUAGGGCUAGCCUCGAGGUAAAGAGUCAUGGAGGUAGAGCACUGUUUGGACUAGGGGCCCUUCUCGGGUUACCGAAUUCAGAUAAACUCCGAAUGCCAUGUACUUAUACUCGGGAGUCAGACUGCGAGUGAUAAGAUCCGUAGUCGAAAGGGAAACAGCCCAGACCACCAGUUAAGGUCCCCAAAUAUAUGUUAAGUGGAAAAGGAUGUGGGGUUGCUUAGACAACCAGGAUGUUGGCUUAGAAGCAGCCACCAUUGAAAGAGUGCGUAAUAGCUCACUGGUCGAGUGACCCCGCGCCGAAAAUGUACCGGGGCUAAACAUAUUACCGAAACUGUGGAUGAACCUCUUUAGAGGUUCGUGGUAGGAGAGCGUUCUAAGGGCGGUGAAGUCAGACCGGAAGGACUGGUGGAGCGCUUAGAAGUGAGAAUGCCGGUAUGAGUAGCGAAAGAAGGGUGAGAAUCCCUUCCACCGAAUAUCUAAGGUUUCCUGAGGAAGGCUCGUCCGCUCAGGGUUAGUCGGGACCUAAGCCGAGGCCGAUAGGCGUAGGCGAUGGACAACAGGUAGAGAUUCCUGUACCAGUGCUAAUUGUUUAACCGAUGGGGUGACACAGAAGGAUAGGGAAUCGCACGAAUGGAAAUGUGCGUCCAAGCAGUGAGUGUGAGAAGUAGGCAAAUCCGCUUCUCGCGAAGCAUGAGCUGUGAUGGGGAAGGAAAUUAAGUACGGAAGUUCCUGAUUUCACGCUGUCAAGAAAAGCCUCUAGGAAGAGUAGUACUGCCCGUACCGCAAACCGACACAGGUAGAUGAGGAGAGAAUCCUAAGGUGAGCGAGAGAACUCUCGUUAAGGAACUCGGCAAAAUGACCCCGUAACUUCGGGAGAAGGGGUGCUCUAUUAGGGUGCAAGCCCGAGAGAGCCGCAGUGAAUAGGCCCAGGCGACUGUUUAGCAAAAACACAGGUCUCUGCAAAACCGUAAGGUGACGUAUAGGGGCUGACGCCUGCCCGGUGCUGGAAGGUUAAGAGGAGUGCUUAGCUUCGGCGAAGGUACGAAUUGAAGCCCCAGUAAACGGCGGCCGUAACUAUAACGGUCCUAAGGUAGCGAAAUUCCUUGUCGGGUAAGUUCCGACCCGCACGAAAGGCGCAACGAUCUGGGCACUGUCUCAACGAGAGACUCGGUGAAAUUAUAGUACCUGUGAAGAUGCAGGUUACCCGCGACAGGACGGAAAGACCCCGUGGAGCUUUACUGCAACCUGAUAUGGAAUGUUUGUACCGCUUGUACAGGAUAGGUAGGAGCCGAAGAGACGUGUGCGCUAGCAUACGAGGAGGCAAUGGUGGGAUACUACCCUGGCUGUAUGACCAUUCUAACCCGCCACGCUUAGCGCGUGGGGAGACAGUGUCAGGUGGGCAGUUUGACUGGGGCGGUCGCCUCCUAAAGAGUAACGGAGGCGCCCAAAGGUUCCCUCAGAAUGGAUGGAAAUCAUUCGCAGAGUGUAAAGGCACAAGGGAGCUUGACUGCGAGACUGACAAGUCGAGCAGGGACGAAAGUCGGGCUUAGUGAUCCGGUGGUUCCGCAUGGAAGGGCCAUCGCUCAACGGAUAAAAGCUACCCCGGGGAUAACAGGCUUAUCUCCCCCAAGAGUCCACAUCGACGGGGAGGUUUGGCACCUCGAUGUCGGCUCGUCGCAUCCUGGGGCUGUAGUCGGUCCCAAGGGUUGGGCUGUUCGCCCAUUAAAGCGGCACGCGAGCUGGGUUCAGAACGUCGUGAGACAGUUCGGUCCCUAUCCGUCGCGGGCGCAGGAAAUUUGAGAGGAGCUGUCCUUAGUACGAGAGGACCGGGAUGGACACACCGCUGGUGUACCAGUUGUUCCGCCAGGAGCAUCGCUGGGUAGCUAUGUGUGGCAGGGAUAAACGCUGAAAGCAUCUAAGCGUGAAGCCCCCCUCAAGAUGAGAUUUCCCAUUUCUUCGGAAAGUAAGAUCCCUGAAAGAUGAUCAGGUAGAUAGGUUUGGAGUGGAAGUGUAGCGAUACAUGGAGCGGACAAAUACUAAUCGAUCGAGGACUUAACCAA